rnacentral:rRNA from 1 species
CCUACGGGAGGCUGCAGUGGGGAAUAUUGGACAAUGGGGGGAACCCUGAUCCAGCCAUGCCGCGUGUGUGAAGAAGGCCCUCGGGUUGUAAAGCACUUUCAGUGAGGAAGAACGCCUGGUGGUUAAUACCCAUCAGGAAAGACAUCACUCACAGAAGAAGCACCGGCUAACUCCGUGCCAGCAGCCGCGGUAAUACGGAGGGUGCGAGCGUUAAUCGGAAUUACUGGGCGUAAAGCGCGCGUAGGUGGCUUGAUAAGCCGGUUGUGAAAGCCCCGGGCUCAACCUGGGAACGGCAUCCGGUACUGUGAGGCUAGCGUGCAGGAGAGGGAGGUAGAAUUCGCGGUGUAGCGGUGAAAGUCGUAGAGAUCGGGAGGAAUACCAGUGGCGAAGGGGGCCAUCUGAGUUGACACUGACACUGAGGUGCGAAAGCGUGGGUAGCAAACAGGAUUAGAUACCCUAGUAGUC